CUGUACGAGGAAUGAUGUACUACUACAGAGCUCUUAAAAUGCUAGCCUUCCUUGAUUCUGCUUCUGAGAUUGAUAUAGAG